rnacentral:tRNA from 1 species
UCGGGCCCGGGGGCCCGGGGUUCGGGCCCGGGGUUCGGGCCCGGGGGCCCGGGGUUCGGGCCCGGGGGCCCGGGGUUCGGGCCCGGGGGCCCGGG